rnacentral:misc_RNA from 1 species
GCAAACUUGGUCAUUUAGAGGAAGUAAAAGUCGUAACAAGGUUUCCGUAGGUGAACCUGCGGAAGGAUCAUUACCGAGUGGCACGAAUUCCGGUCGUUUGAGACUGGGAGGCUACCCGACCUUUUGUCAUAUUCUGUCGCCCGGGGAAGCUUCGAAUUUGGGUUCGAGGAUGCCGGACGAGCCAAAACUUCGGCGGAAGAGGUAGGCAUGGACCUGCCCGCCGCCGGCCGCAGAACAGCACAGAUUCUUGAAAAGCAAACUGAAGUCUAAGCGCAGCGUAUUGAAGAGUACGCGAAGAUGAAAACGAAAAAAGCAAAACUUUCAACAACGGAUCUCUUGGCUCUCGCAUCGAUGAAGAACGCAGC